AUUGACUCCCCAGAUGGACACACAGGUGAUUGAGGUUAUGGUCUCAUCACCACGAGGUAUUGUGUCCAUCCCCCUGGGGAUCGACAGGAUCAGGUGUUGACGUGGGCGAGAGGGUCUGUUUGUGUGUUUCCACAGGACCAGACGGAACCUCUUUGGGUGCCAGAGAGAUUGGUGAGACGCUACAAGAAUGAGGCUCCUGAUCCAGUUGCCCCUGUGGAUGUGGUGGAUGAUCCCACAAGCACAAAGGAUGGAGCCGAGAUGAGAGAUCCUUUCGGUAUUCCAGAAGCGCCAAUACCAGCUCGACAUGA
rnacentral:lncRNA from 1 species